ensembl:lncRNA
AUGAGAGGGUCUGCACACUGCGCCCCCCACCCCCUGCAGUCUCUGGAGCUAGUCAGCAAAUCGCUGCAGAAGAUGGUCCUCCCGCCGCAAGCUGCCCCCCGUGCCGCCGCCGCUGUCCAUGAAGCGGUCGCAGGGGAACUCGAUGAGGUCGGCCUCGCUGAGCGCACACACGGUGGCGCGCGGCCGGUGCGACUGGAAGCCGGAGAAGUCGGCGGACACGCCGGUGCCCAUGGAGCGCAGCGGCCGUCGGGUGGAGUACAUGUGCCUAACGUGCACGGGCGCGCCCGCCUUGCGCCUCGCCCGCAGCUUCCUGCGCAGCCAGCGCGACGCCCAGGCCGCCAGCGCCAGGAGCACCAGCAGCGCGUUGACCGCCAGCAAGGCCAAGGUCAGCAGCUGGUAGUCCACGCUGCUCCGGGCCCCGGGCUCCGGCAGGGUGACCAGCCCGGCGCAGUGGUCGCGGGGCGCCACCGGGCAGACGCGGCCGCCGAGCACGCCCUCCACGCACACCAGCUUGAGUCCGGAGAGCUGGAUUCCCUGGCACGGAUUCUCCCCGCCGAGCGGAUUCCCCAGCUGCAGGCGGGAGCCCUUCCAAGAGCUCCUCGGGGCGCGGCUUGGCUGCGGCGCCCCGGAGGCUCGGCCCCCGCAGCCCGCAGCCCGCAGCCCGCGCCUCCCGGUCCCCGGACCCCGGACCCCGGACCCCGGUCCCGGAGCGCGGCCUCGGUGCAACAGCCGGAGGGAGGAGCCGGGGGCGGAGAAAGAGGAGACGGCGGAGGGAGGACAGACCCCGACUGGGGGAGGAGGAAACGCUAAGUGGCUCCGCGUCUGGUCAGCCCGAGCCCGGGACGCCGAGUGAGAGAAAGGAGAGAAGACUAAGAAGCUACUGGCUUUCAAAUUGAACCACUGGAUGUACCUGGGAUGGAGCUGUGAGCCUGUAGUGUGAGGACACACAAAAAGCCAUCCGAGCAGAGAAGAGGUCGGCAGCUGAGAGAGGUGUAACAUGGAAGAGAGACAGCGGAGCAGAGAUCAGACCCAUCCCUUAGCAUCAGCCUCCCCUCCUCCUGAGCCUGCAGAAACCUUGCAGAGCGGGGACAGCAGGCAGCGUUCCAUAGGACCUCUGUAGUUGGCCCUAAUCAUAAGAUGCCGCUAUGUAAGAUUUACAAAGUCAUCAGGCCCCUGCCGAUGUUCGGUAUUUUUCAGCGUUUUUGACUGUCUUUGGUAGUAUUGCCCCGUGUUGAACAUUUCUACCAGUUGGUGCUGGAUUGCAGGUAGAAAUAACAUCAUAUGCGGUUUAUGUCAAAAGACAAUUGCUUUCCCAUAACAUUCCAUUUCCUUGAAGUAACCCAUCUGCCUCCUAUAGUUAACUUUGCUUAAAAUAGAUACAGUGUGCCAUACUUCAGAUGAGUAUAAAAAGCUUCCCAUGGGUUUUGCUAGGCACCCUCACCCAGUUUCAGCGAGAUUAAGACUUUGAGAUCUACAGAUGAAGCGGUACCACCUGUGUGUGUGUGUGCGUGCGUGCAGAUGAAUUCUUUCUGAAGUAGUGUGAUUGCUGUCUUUUUAACCAGGGCUUCCAUUUGCAAAGGCAUGUAACUUGAGGUCAACUUUACAAAUCAAUGACAUUUACAUCCUUCCGAGUACAUUAAUGUGAUAUUCCUCUGUGCCCCCAGUGGUCUCCAUUUCUGUAAUGCUACACGUUCAGGUGUUUGAUUUAUUUUUCAGGCCAUCUCUCUUCCAGGAGCUAAAACAGUAUUUUGCUUGAAUUCAGCAGCACCUCGAGUGCCCUGGUAGUGAAGAGCUAUAAUAGCAACGCCAAAACUGCAUUUGCUCUGAAUGCUGGUGGUCUGGCGGGUAGUUUUUAGUGAGAAUCUAGCAAGUGACCAAUCCCAGGAUGAGCGAUGGGAACGCGGUCUCUGAUAGGAUUCGAUGCCAGACCCCAGGGCUUAACAGCUCAGUUGGGAGGCUGAUGAGCAAGGACCCACUGCAUCACCAGCUGAUAAGUGCUGAGGGAUGGAGCCGUGGGAGCCCUGAGGAGGACAUGUGGCCUGGCCUGAGAGCAUGAGGAAGGUGUCCAGAGGAGGAAAGUGCUGGAAGCCUGCAGACAUGUGCAAGAGAGUCUGCUAGGAAGCUCCAGAUCUUCUGUCCUUGUAGAUGAGAUUUUUUUGACAUCUGUAGUUUUCCACAGUAUCACACAACCUUGCUCAUACAAUGACUUCCCAAUAAAUAUUCCCUUAUUCCCCUUUAAGGAUUUCUG